rfam:Tetrahymena thermophila SB210 genomic scaffold scf_8254367, whole genome shotgun sequence.
GCCGCUUUAGCUCAGUGGUUAGAGCAUUCGCCUAGUAAGCGAAAGGUCGGCGGUUCAAUCCCGCCAAGUGGCU